GGCCGCCUGGUGUAGUUGGUUAUCACGCAUCCUUCACACGGAUGAGGUCUUGAGUUCGAACCUCAAGGUGGUCA
rnacentral:tRNA from 2 species